rnacentral:rRNA from 1 species
UACGGGGGGGGGCAAGCGUUGUUCGGAAUUACUGGGCGUAAAGGGCGCGUAGGCGGCCUACUAAGUCGGACGUGAAAUCCCUCGGCUCAACCGAGGAACUGCGUCCGAUACUGGUGGGCUUGAAUCCGGGAGAGGGAUGCGGAAUUCCAGGUGUAGCGGUGAAAUGCGUAGAUAUCUGGAGGAACACCGGUGGCGAAGGCGGCAUCCUGGACCGGUAUUGACGCUGAGGAGCGAAAGCAUGGGGAGCGAACAGG